UAGCUCAGUGGUUAAGAGCACUGGCUGCUCCUCCAGAGACCUGGGUUCAAUACCCAG
rnacentral:tRNA from 1 species